rnacentral:rRNA from 1 species
CGCCCACACCGCGGUAAUACGUAGGGUGCGAGCGUUAUCCGGGAAUUAUUGGGCGUAAAGGGCUCGUAGGCGGUUCGUCGCGUCCGGUGUGAAAGUCCAUCGCUUAACGGUGGAUCCGCGCCGGGUACGGGCGGGCUUGAGUGCGGUAGGGGAGACUGGAAUUCCCGGUGUAACGGUGGAAUGUGUAGAUAUCGGGAAGAACACCAAUGGCGAAGGCAGGUCUCUGGGCCGUUACUGACGCUGAGGAGCGAAAGCGUGGGGAGCGAACAGGAUUAGAUACCCUGGUAGUCCACGCCGUAAACGGUGGAUGCUGGAUGUGGGGCCCGUUCCACGGGUUCCGUGUCGGAGCUAACGCGUUAAGCAUCCCGCCUGGGGAGUACGGCCGCAAGGCUAAAACUCAAAGAAAUUGACGGGGGCCCGCACAAGCGGCGGAGCAUGCGGAUUAAUUCGAUGCAACGCGAAGAACCUUACCUGGGCUUGACAUGUUCCCGACGACCCCAGAGAUGGGGUUUCCCUUCGGGGCGGGUUCACAGGUGGUGCAUGGUCGUCGUCAGCUCGUGUCGUGAGAUGUUGGGUUAAGUCCCGCAACGAGCGCAACCCUCGCCCCGUGUUGCCAGCGGAUUGUGCCGGGAACUCACGGGGGACCGCCGGGGUUAACUCGGAGGAAGGUGGGGAUGACGUCAGAUCAUCAUGCCCCUUACGUCCAGGGCUUCACGCAUGCUACAAUGGCCGGUACAACGGGAUGCGACAGCGCGAGCUGGAGCGGAUCCCUGAAAACCGGUCUCAGUUCGGAUCGCAGUCUGCAACUCGACUGCGUGAAGGCGGAGUCGCUAGUAAUCGCGAAUCAGCAACGUCGCGGUGAAUGCUACCGGUCCCUGU